GCGACGAAUCGAUCCAUUGAGUCAAUUAGUGAAACAGCAAUCCGAGUUUCUAUUUCCAGUUCGAUUUUAAUAAAAGCAGGGUGCAAGAGAGAAUCUGCAGAGAGGCAGUUUAAGUGGUUAACACUGUAUUGUGAAUUGUGAUCAGCAGCAACUCUGCAAUCACCGUCAUCUUCGGUCGCUUCCGAUGAUCUCGCUGCAGGCAGGCAGCUAUCUGCCGAUUCGAGUCACCUACCCCCUUGCCUUCAAAGUGUAGGUAUCAACAAAACUUGCUGGUGUUCUUCUAUCUUGGCAUUUUGCUCAAAUGAUUACUUACAGCCAUCAGCUUGAGAAACCAAUGAAGUUUGGUUUUCAUUUAUGCUCUGAAUCAGAGUUGUGGAAAAGUCUUCGACUUUGUUGAAUCUAAGUUUGUCUGAAUUAUAUAUCUAGGAAAGCAUGGAACUCGGGUGUUGGUCCUUCACCUCUAAAUUUUAUUCCAGUGAAAAUGUUCAAGCCAAGGUUGCUCAGUGUCCUCGAUACGUGAUAAACAUGUAAAUAGCCUGUGUGACACCCUAAAACAUUACCUACUGGUCUGUUCAUCAUUACUUCAUUCCACUUCCAGACUGCAAACUCCUCUCUCUCCUAACUGGACAUAAACCUUAAUUUUUUGUGCCGUCUUCCCUUUAGUACGUAUCAUUGAGAUGAAUUUGGCUUUAGGCCUUUUGCUUUGAACAAAAAUAAAUCUUCUGUCUCUUAUUUUGU